UAGCAAUAUUCUGUGGUCGGAGCGGCGCAAGGGUGCGUAACACGUGGGUAAUCUGCCAUGAAGUUUGGGAUAACUCGCUGAAAGGCGAGCUAAUACCGAAUGUGACGAUCGGAGGGCAUCUUCUGAUCUUCAAAGUUGGGGACCGUAAGGCCUGACGCUUCAUGAUGAGCCCGCGGCCUAUCAGCUAGUUGGUGAGGUAACGGCUCACCAAGGCUAAGACGGGUAGCUGGUCUGAGAGGACGACCAGCCACACUGGAACUGAGACACGGUCCAGACACCUACGGGUGGCAGCAGUCGAGAAUUUUUCACAAUGGGGGAAACCCUGAUGGAGCGACGCCGCGUGGGGGAUGAAUGGCUUCGGCCCGUAAACCCCUGUCAUUCGCGAACAAUGCCUGUGGUCUAAUAAAUCACAGGUUGAUAGUAGCGGAAGAGGAAGGGACGGCUAACUCUGUGCCAGCAGCCGCGGUAAUACAGAGGUCCCAAGCGUUGUUCGGAUUCACUGGGCGUAAAGGGUGCGUAGGCGGUCGGGUAAGUCUGAUGUGAAAUCUCACAGCUUAACUGUGAAACUGCAUUGGAUACUAUUCGGCUUGAGGUCUGGAGGGGGGACUGGAAUUCACGGUGUAGCA
rnacentral:rRNA from 1 species